GGAAGUAAAAGUCGUAACAAAGUUUCCGUAGGUGAACCUGCGGAAGGAUCAUUAUUGUAUAACCGUGGUGCGAGGGCUGUCGCUGACCCGAAAGGUCGUGCACGCCCGAGUGCCCUCACACACAUCCAUCUCACCCCUAUGUGCACCACCGCGUGGGUCCCCCUUUGGCUUGUUCGGAGGGGGGCUUACGUUUUCACACAAACUUUGUAUGCAGUGUAGAAUGUAUUUUUUGUUUUUGCGAUCACGCAAUCAAUACAACUUUCAACAACGGAUCUCUUGGCUCUC
rnacentral:misc_RNA from 1 species